UUAGUUGGAAAUGCGAAGUCGCAAGGCAGAAGUUGGUUCGUGAGUGUUGAAUAAUUAUUUAAGUAUUUCAGAAACAAAUAUAAAUAGAGUAAUUAAUAAAUAGGCAAAAAGAAAACUGAAAAAUGAAUACCGGCGGCGGAGCAGGCGUUGCCGACGAGAACACGAGCAGCUCCUCUUUCUUGCAACUGAGCCACGAGGUGUGGCGGCGCUACCAGCAUCUCCUCGACAAAUCGACGCCGCUGGAGCUGUACCGCUGGAUCUUCCUGGCGGCGAUCGCGGCGGUAUUCGCGCUGCGCAUCUACUUCGUCCAGGGUUUCUACAUCAUCACCUAUGGCCUUGGAAUCUACAUCCUGCAGCUUCUGAUCGCAUUCCUCUCGCCGCAGGUGGACCCCGAGAUCCAGGGGCUCACCGACGGCCCCGCCCUCCCCACGCGCGCCUCCGAGGAGUUCCGCCCCUUUGUCCGCCGCCUACCCGAGUUUAAGUUCUGGCAUUCGCUUAUAAAGGCUUUUUGUGUUGCUCUAUUGUUGACAUUCUUCAGUGCCUUUGAUGUGCCCGUGUUUUGGCCCAUUCUUAUGUUUUACUGGUCAGUUCUGUUCUUUUUAACUAUGAGGAGGCAAAUCAUGCAUAUGAUCAAGUAUAAAUAUGUCCCUUUCACAUUUGGGAAGCAGCGUUAUGGGAAGAAGACAGCUCCUACUGACGAGGCAAACACCAGAAGACCAUAGUUCUUAAGGCUUUCAGACAAGUACCUUUCAGCCUAAAAAUAAAACAAAAUUAAUCUCUCUGAGCAAUCAUACUUACAUCAAUGGCACGGUAAAAGCUUAAACUCAGAUACAUGAUGUAACAUCUUCUGGACAGAAAGGCACUUGAGUUUUUCUACGUCCUGGUGAUAAGCCUGUUGGUGACGGCAUUGUUUGAAGCCAUAUAUGUAAAUCCAGAUUGUGGGAAUAAACCAGCUAGGAAUAAGAUGAGGAUUGUACCCAAAAGAGCAGCACUCAGAAGGUGUAUGGGGCCUUUGAUGGAUGCUCUCACCACUAACUCAAGGAUUGGGUGGAGGACCACCAUUUAUUGGUCUCGUGCGACCGGCCCCAACUUCCCCUCUCUAGAAUUUGGAAUGUUGCUCAUCUCAAUUUUUAGCUCUCCAAAUUGUGUUUGUUUACUCCGUUUUUUUUGUAUUCUAAUGCCUCACUUUGAUGUUCAAUUAAAAAAUCUAUUAUUAUUGCUUUA